rnacentral:rRNA from 1 species
UACAGAGGCCCCAAGCGUUACUGAGAAUCACUGGGUUUAAAGGGUGCGUAGGUGGCGCGUUAAGUCCGUUGUGAAAUCCCUGGGCUCAACCCAGGAAUUGCUUCGGAUACUGGCGUGCUUGAGGCCGGUAGGGGUCACUGGAACUGACGGUGGAGCGGUGAAAUGCGUAGAUAUCGUAAGGAAGACCAGUGGCGAAGGCGGGUCUCUGGACAGUUCCUGACGCUGAGGCACGAAGGCCAGGGGAGCAAACGGG